rnacentral:rRNA from 1 species
UACGUAGGGUGCGAGCGUUAAUCGGAAUUACUGGGCGUAAAGCGUGCGCAGGCGGUUCGUUGUGUCGGCGGUGAAAGCCCCCGGCUUAACCUGGGAAUGGCCGUUGAAACUGGCGAACUGGAGUGUGGCAGAGGGGGGUGGAAUUCCGCGUGUAGCAGUGAAAUGCGUAGAGAUGCGGAGGAACACCGAUGGCGAAGGCAGCCCCCUGGGCUAACACUGACGCUCAGGCACGAAAGCGUGGGGAGCAAACAGG